ACGUCACAAACAUGGAGUAGUGAGGGAGACACUCCUAUUCGAGGUGCUCUCCAAUUUUACCGCUUUUUAACGCCAAUUAUUCCCCUACAACGAAGUGAUACAUAUCCCCAGCGGUGUAGAAUGUCGUGAUACAACACCUGUGGCCCGGAUUGAGCAGCAAGAUGAGUGGGAGGAACAUAAUCACGCGGGAACUGAGUGAUUCCAUACGUCAGUGUUUGGGCCGAAAAGUGAAGCUGACACUGAAGGUCCUCGUGAAGGUUGAGACCAAGGGAGACAAGACAGAUAAUCGUGUUUUGGCUUUUGCGUCAUGCAGGCUCUUUGUGCUUACCGCCAAGGUCCCCACAAGGGUUGACCAGCAUUUCCACUACCUGGACAUCCAAGGUGUGGAGAGUCGGAAACCCAAUCAGCUGUGCCUGACCGUGUGCGACCGCGUGUACACCUACUACACCACGCACGAGGAGAACAGCAGCCAUGAGGUGGACACGAUGGUGCUCAGCCUCGGCACGGCGCUCAAGAACAUUUUCCCCGCCGUGCCGCUCACGCACAUCAUCCGCAAGGUGGACAUCCAGCCUCCGAAGCGGAUGCAGCAGCUGGAUGAGCUUGAGCGGGCAACCUUAGGGGGCACCAGGGACAUGGGGCCAUGUGGGGGCUUCUCCACACAGUACAUGUGCAUGUGUGACUACCACGCCCUGCCAUACAGAGAAGAGGUGGCGUGGGAUGUCGACACUAUCUACCUCUCUCACGACACGCGAGAGCUCUACCUGCAUGACUUCGACUAUCUAGAGCAGAAAGAUCUCAUACCUAUCAUCAGUGCUCUGGAGUACAAUACAUGGUUUCGAAAACUGCGGGCCAGUCACAGUAAACUCUCGCAUGAAGCUAUAGAAAGAAUUUUACAUGUUGUCAGCAAGUCUCUUAGCUUAGAAGAAAUCUACUUAGAUAACAUUGGUGCCAAAGCUGAAUUUGCAAACAAGUUGUCUCUAGCGCUUUUGUCCAAUAGCAACAUUCCUCUUCAGAAGCUUGACCUCUCUCACAACCCCAUUGAGGACAAAGGUGCUGUUCACAUCAGUAAUCCCAUCGGACGACAAGCCAAAGGACUUAGUCACCUGAAUCUCUCCCUUUGUGGACUUACUGGAAAGGGUGUCAACAUGUUAGCACAUUCCCUGUCAGUCAAUAAGUACAUGUGUCAGACUUUGACAUUCCUUAGCCUAGCUGGCAACUCCUUACGGGACGAUGUCAACAAUCUUUAUAAUUUCCUAGCUCAACCUAAUGCGCUGAAGACUCUUGAUCUGUCAGCAACAGAAUGUGCCAUCGAUGCUGUGUUUGGAGCAUUAUUACGAGGAUGCACCAGUAGUUUGGCCCAUCUGAACCUGUCACGGAACAGUUUCGGCAGCAAGAAGACCCGAGAGAUGCUGCCCUCCUUCAAACAAUACUUCACCUCAACCCUCGCUCUUAAAACCCUCACACUGUCCCAAUGUAAACUACCUGCUGAUGCCCUCAAGAAUGUACUUUUAGGGUUAGCGUGUAAUGAAAACAUCUCUGAGGUGGACUUAGAUUUAAGCAGUAAUCAAUUGGGUGGAACUGGAGCACAAAUUUUGGAGUCCUGUAUUCAUGGUGUUCGAUGUCUGUCAGCAUUAGAUAUCAGUGAUAAUGGUUUAGAAGCUCAACUUGGACCUGUAGUAGCCGCAAUUAGCAAAAACAAAAGCAUCAGGAAACUUAGUAUUGGCCGUAAUCUUAAUAAUAUUAAGAGCAAGCAUGUGUACCACGUUAUGGAGUCAGUGGUACAGAUGAUUCAGGAGGAAGAUUGUGUUCUUGAGUCCCUUUCCAUUAAUGACUCCCGGCUGAAGACAGAUUUGCACAACCUUCUAAAUGCGUUGGGGAGUAACCACUGCUUGCAGAGUCUAGAUAUCAGUGGAAAUUACAUGGGAGACAGUGGGGCACGACUCCUGGCCAAAGCUUUACAGAUUAACUCCAAACUCCAAUAUAUUAGUUAUGAUAGAAACAAUGUCACUUUACAAGGGUAUAGUGAUAUUGCAUAUGCAUUACAAAGCAACUACAGUGUCAAGUUUCUGCCAUUCCCCGUUCAUGAUGCCAUGUUGUGCAUGAAGACGGCCCCUGAACGGACAGAAAACCUCAUGCGCAGGAUACAGGACACGCUCUAUAGAAAUGUAUCACCCAUGAAGUAUUCCAAUGGACAGGCGUUCAGAUUACAACAGGGAUUCCUCUUAAGUUCAACUCAGCAGCAGGUAGACAGGCUGGUGCUACAGACGGGGGAGGCCGUAAGGACCUUGCGACGGUCUGGCAGCGACCUCGUUGGUGCAAACUCACUGCAGUGGGCUGAGGGACUCAUCACAGAUGCAGACAGCUCCAAGCAGCUGAUCAGCCACCUUCACGACGUGGUGCUGAGGAGGGAUGAGGCUGGCAACCCCAUAGAGACGAAGCUGCACCAGAUCUCGUCCGAUCUCCACACCGUCAUUACCAACUACCUCCAGGACACAGUUGAGAGCAUGGUUAGGUCUGCACAAGACAAGUGUCCCAACGUCUUGAGCGAGGAGAAGGUGGUGGAUGAUGUGAGGGCUGCCUGCCUGGCUAAGUCACAGCUAUCAUCCCAGUUGGUAGAGACUGCAAUAGUGGAGCAGGCUGGUUCAGUCAUCCUCAACAAGGUGAAUGAAGUCAACCUGGCCAUUGCAUCAACUGUGUCUGAUAGGGUGAUUGACGAAGUAGUCGACUCCCUGUCCAAAACGUGCAAGAACUUGCAAUCUGGUGAAGGGCCAAGGAAGAGGGCGUCAACAGGGACUGAAAUGGGGAGUCGUGAGCGAGGAAGCAGCGAGUCUUCGACACGCAGUGAACGCUCUGAUACAGUCAGCCAAGGGGACGACACCACCAGCCAAAAGUCUGACCCAUCACCACUGGCUACCCCGCAGCUUGCAUCAAAACGCAAGAGUCUCCAUGGAAGAAAGUUGAGGCCACAGAGUGUUGUAGCUGAGUCAUUAGACAGUGUGUCAGAGUUACCAAGCAGCUGUGGACAGCUGCAGCACUUGGGCAAGGCCAGACCUCGAAGAGUGAAGACCAGAGCCCCAACCAGACCCAUGGGCAGAGCUGAUCUAGUCGAGGAAGACCAUGACAUUUCUGAGGGCGUUGACACCUUCUUCAGGCCCGGGUCAUCAACUCCCACAACACCCCUCAUCUCCCCUGACUCGGAGAACAGCCCACGGCUACUCAAAUAUGGCUCCACCUCCUCCGUUGAGAGCUCCCCCCACACGGGCGGAGCAAGAACCGGCAGCGAGAGAGGCAGCAUUGAGUCACUCACGCGGUCUGACUCGCUGGCGCGGUCGGAGUCAGACGUGACGAGGGAGAGCCCGCGGCCACGCACCAAGUCUCGAGAUACGGAGGAGGAAGAUGAGAUGGAAGAUGAGGACCAAAGCCUAGAUGAGAAGAGCCGCAGUGUAACCAGCCUGAUAGGAAGACGAGCCAAUGAACCGAUGUUGAAGAGAUCACCAGAUAUGAGUGCAAGAAAAGCCUCAACAUCAUCAAACAUCAGUUCUAUGGAUGACAAAAGCCGCAGUGAGGAAGAUGGGAAGGAAGAUUCUCCCCCAAGGAAAGUAGCUGGCUUGCCCAAGUUCGGGAUGGGCAUCGGAGGAAACAUCUUGGCAGAGAUGAAGAUGAUGCAGGAGAAAAGAACUUCGGUCUUACCAAAGGAUGAAGACAAGGAUCGUGAUGAGAGAAAGGAAAACCCUUCAAGCAGCUUGCUCGCAGGUGUGAGGCUGCGGUCCACGGGCCUCGCAGACAGCCUAAAGUCUCCUACUAAUGGCUUCCCAAGAGGAUCCAGUGGCAGCAAAUCUCCAAAUUGUAAUAGGGAUUCUGUUAUUGAAAACGCAGGACCCAGCCCGAACACCAAGCCUGUGAUCGCCGCCCUCAAACCUAAGCCCCCUCCCCCUCUUGCACCUAAACCGCGACCCAAGUCUGUCAUUGGAGGAGACCAGAGAGCAGGUGAAUAUGAAUCCAGUGAUGCCACAGAAGAUGAGCAAACCAGUGCCCCAGUGAGGUCAGUGAGGGAGAUGGCGGCAUCCCUUGCCCGCAGUUCAGUUGGGGAGGAAGCUGGAGGCAAGAAAAAGUCCUCUUCUCUCCCCCGGAACACGCCCCAAGCUGCCAACAGUGGUGUGGCUCCUGAGCUGCUGGUAAUCCUCGACAAGAGACGCUCAACCAUCACAAACAACCAGCUUGAGACGCGUGGAAAGUCGGGCCGUGUGUGAACCACAAAACAAGUGGCAGGGUUGUGAAGGAAGUCCAAGGAGGAAAAGUAAUGCAGGGAGCUGGAGGAGACAUGGGUGGACGGUGAGCAGAGCACAGGAUCAAGCGCAGCCCCUCCCCUGCAUCGGCAGACGUCACACAAACAUGUCCUCACCACUGAUCUAGCACUUGAAGAUGUUGUUAAUGUUUGAUUGUCAGAAUUGUUAUUUUGAUGAAGGAUUUUUUUCCAUGUAACAUUGUUUCAUGAUAUUUUUCCCAUUCCAUCAUAGAUGGAACUAUAUUUGUUGCUGAGGCAUAAUAAUGGUAAUGUUCAUAUUGACAAGUGAUGAAGAAAUUUAAUGUUAUGUCAUUGUGUGACUGGCCAUACAGUUUCCUUUUCCAGUGAAGUAAGUGUAACUUGCUGUAUUUUCCUUUCAUGGAUAAACAGCUUUCUUCAUGAUUGUAAUUCAUAAGGCUAUGAAGGGAAUUUUAUUUAUUGAAUUUUACUUUGGUUUAUAUAGUUAUAUGUAGUCUGCUUGGAUAGCAAGACUGCAGAAUCUACACAGCCACAGAGACAUCUGAUGCCAUGAUGCGAUGUUGGUAGGAUUGUUAUGGUGGGACAGCAGACAUGUGAGAAAAUCAAAUGCAUUAACAUCACGCUUGCUCUUCUGCAAAGAUCAUGAUAGAGGCAUUAUGAUUGGACUUUUUGGAGAUUAAUAUACAGCUCAAACUGUUCAUACAUUUGCAUUUAAAGCCACAUUUUCUCAAGUCUUCUAACAGGCUUUCACUAUUAAGGAUACUCCUUAUAUGUCUGUAUAAAUGUCAAUAUAGAUAAUGUAUAGUCAAAGAUAUAGGUCACUGCCAGCAUUGGUUAUUCAAAAGGUCAUUCUUGAUGUACAUAAUAGCAGCACAAAAUUUCUUGUAGAUGAGGAAUUGCAUUUAUAAAUCAUUAUUUGUAUGUAGGUUUCCCAUCUUCCAAAGCACGGGACACGUUUCAUUCACAAUUUGUUGGUCAGUAUGUAGAUUAUAGCUACUUCAAUUUUUUAACCUUUGUGAUUUUUGCUAGAAUUGUGAGGCAAUUUUCAGAUAUACAUUGGAUGAAAAUAGUUAUAUAUAAGAAUAAAAGAAAUAAUAGAGAAAGGAGGUAUUACAGACUCAUGUAUUUUCUCUUUCUAAAAAUUCUCAAGAAAUUCACAUCAGAAAUUUUGACCUUUAAGUAGAGGAAUUUGAAGUCCUUAUAAAGAAUUUCUUGAGUCUUGACCUAAAGUUCUCUAAAGUGAGCAUCUGGACUGUAAUUAAUCUUUUAUUAAUGAGCUUUUAACCAUGUUAAGUUUUUAAUUUUAUGACAUUCGUUUUCCUUCCAAAUGCAAGUACUUGUUCGUGUAUUAUGACCAAAUUGCAUGUAAUGUAGUUUUUUUUUUUCUGUAAAUGGAUUUGCAAACUACUUUGGGAAAUUUUCCAUAUGAAGAAUUGCUAGGACAAAAAUGAACUUGUCAGUAGCUUUGUUGAAAGAUGCAUUUUUGUGCAUUGCAUUUUAUGUUUACAAGCAGUUUGUGAUGGUUAUUAUGAAUAAAGCAUCCUUCUCUAAAUGACAUGUUGAUAGCUAGGUCAGUAAUACAAUUUGAUUCAUAGUCAAGAUAGAUUAUUAGGUAUUGAUAUUUAAAUGUAAUUAAGUGUUUCCUUUUUUUUUUUCUUUUUUUACAAAGAGAAAGUAUUAAGUGCAAUCUGUUUUAUGUCUGCAGUUUAUAAAGGAUUUACUAUCAGUACGUGGCUUGCUGGUCACAUUGUUUGUAAUGCUUUGCCUCAAUCUACUGAACGUUGAAAGUGGACAGUGUACUGUGUGGAGCCUGUUCUUAACAGGCGUGAUAUAAAUAUUGUUACUAAAGUAAGAGUUGUAUGCUUGCUCUGUCAGAAAUGCAUUACAGCUUAUGUACAGCUUGUUUUGUUAAGAAAAAAAAAGAAAAAAAAAAAAGGGUCUGUCAGAAGAGCUUUGUGCCAAGAAAGGUUGCAAGAGAAAUUUAUACUCCUCAUUAAAGAGCUGCGGAUGUCUUUUUAUGUCUUGACGUGUUAUGAUUGUGAUUUUCUGCGCUGAUUUUGAGGGUUCCUGAUAAGUGGAUGAUGAUAAUGAUGAUGUGGUGUAUCUGUGAUGAAUUUUGCUUGUGGUGUGACUUUAUUUGGUAAUUUGAUUUUGACAGGCAGUUUUUGUUUGUUUGGGGGGCAAGAAAAAAAAAAAAAAAAAAAUGUUUUUGCAUUAGCUGUGGAAACUUUCCUUCCGUCUUCUCCUGGGCUUCAGAGAACAUACUGUGUGAGGACAACAACUGUGGAUUUUCAAGGUGGUUAUUUGAUAGAGAAAAGUUUAGGAGGAUAUUGAUAAAUAGAAACCAGUUUUUUUCAUAAAUCUUUGUGUUGUUUAUCUUUACAUAAUAAGGUGUGAAUGGGUUAUGUAUAUCUUUUUUUUUUUUCAUUGUCUUUUCUAAGUUAGUAAAAUCAUUUGUGAUCUCGCAUUUAUUGCAAAUUGAGUAAGUGGAGAAUUUUAAGGCUCUUUAACAAAUCUUUUGAUGAUUGAUUUUCUUAGUUUAACAGAUUUUGGCUUCAGUUCAAAAAUUUGAUAUUUAGAUGGAGCCCCUUUAUGCAGUUGAAUUUCUAGAGAAGAAAACCAUUAGAUAACAAGGAGUGGAGAGUUUUCAGGCUUUAAAUAAGGCAGUACAAAAAGGCCAGUGGCAAAUGUUUGUUUCACAGUGCUCACAGGAGACAAUACACUUUUGAAAAUCAAAAAAAUAAAAAUAAAAAACAUAAAAAAAUAUAUAUAGAUAAUUACAAAAAAAAAAAAAAAAAAAAAUUAAAUAAAAAAAUAUUAAAACUGACAUUUGUAUAGACUGUAGAUAAUAGUUGAUGAGAAGAAAAAUUCUAAGCUUUGGUACCUUCCUCAAAAACCACCCUUAGUAUUCCUUGCAGAGUCCACCGCACCUCAUGCCCCUCGGAGACCCUCAUAGCGUGCAGCUACUGUACCAUUGUUUGAUCCUUGAUGUUACUGUGUAUGUUUUUUCACACCUUCACCUGCAUCGAGUAGCAGCAGAUUUAUAUACAUUCAUCCUCACUUCAUAAUUCUAUAUAUAUAUGGUAAUGAUAAUUUGAUGAAGGUACAGUAUUCUUGCAGGUAUCUUUAUGAAUUACUUUACUGUACACUACACACUCAAGUGUAAUUUUCUUAAAUCUGUUAUUGGCUUUUAAAACGUUUACAUCAAACAGGACACAAGAACUGUAGUGAAGUUUUUUCACCCAUUUUGACAAUUAUUGUUUGAUGUUUAGGCAUAAAAUAAACAUUGUACAGUCUAAUACCAGUCUUACAAGUCUCUUGUUAGUCAUUAAUUGAUUUAUUUUCAUUUUCAAAUCCAGCAUAAUGUCAGAGAAAUUGUUGUAGUAACUUAAAUCUUCUUAAGUAUGGCUCAAAUGUUGUGAUUGUGAGGUGCAGAACAGGCAAGGGACGAAAGAAAAAUAUAGUCUGAACUAUACAUUUUAUAUGUAUAUUACUUAACUCCUGUUGAUUGACACACAAGUGUAAUCAUUUUGCUGCAUCACACUAUUGAAGCUUAAUUCAAAUCAAUACCUUUCGUUAUCCUCAUCUGCCUGCAUUGCGAGAGACCGUGUGCGUGCCAUGAUUAGCUAGCAAUCUGAUUGUGGUCAUUGUGAGUUGUGAUAGUAUCAAAGUGCUCCCAUGUGUCUUGUGAUUUUUUGUUUUUAUGUUCAUUUUUAAAAGAAAUUUUAGUUGCUUUCUAUGAUAUGACUGGAGAGCCUAUUAUAUGACCACAGGUUUUGUUGCAUUAAGCAAUGUUUUACCCUUGCAAUGUAAAUAAUUAAUUGUCAUAUUUUAUAUUUUACAAUUAUUCUACUGCCUUAAUAAAACUUAUUUCCUAUGAA
rnacentral:misc_RNA from 1 species